UGGAUCAAUAAAAAUUUUCCUGCAUUUUAUAGCGAUGGUGGCAGUCUCUGUGGUCCUAUUGAGUAAGGGUCUUUUGACAAAUUCCAACAGUGACAAGUGCCUUUACCUGCUGAACCAUGUCCCUGACCUUUUGUUUGCUUAAAACUCCACUGUCAGUAUAUGGUUUUAUCUGGCCACUAAUUUAACAGAAAAAAAAAAAAAAGUCAAUACAGCUACUUCAGGACUCUGAACUUGGAAAACAUUCCUUUCUAGGUUUAAGUUUAAUCCCACAAAACCAAACUAAUAAAACAAACUAUGGGCUGGAGAGAUGACUCAGUGGUUGAGUGUUGGCUGUACAAUCAGGAAGACUUCAGUUUGGACCCCAGCACCCAUAGAACAAGCUGAUCCUCUUUUGGCAUCAGAGAUACACACAUCUCCACAACUAUACACACAGUGAAAUGAACACUGAUAGAAUACCCAGGAUCGUCCCACCAUCAGAUCUGUGUUGCCACACACCAUGUGUUCCACCUGUAGACCAGAAGCUGCACUUAUCCCAGGAGAGCCAUGAACAGAGCACAAUGUGUUUGUAGGUAAUCAAAAGGUUGGACUUUCCUGAUUUAAAGCUAAGAGGACCUCACAUGAAUUUGGCAAUGUGAUGCCACAGUAGUCUUAAGAUGCAGAAAAACAGCACUGGGGAGACAGCUCAAUCAAUAAAGUGCUCUCCACUCCAAGUGUGAGAGCCGGAGUUCCACCAACACCUGUGUAAAAGCUGGAUGAAACAUGAUUCUCUGUACAUAUGUGCAAGCACACCCACACACAUGAACACAUAUCUGUAGAAUGAAAAUAAAAAUACAUUUUUUUCUUUUGGAAAUAUAUUGGAAUGUUACAUUA